CUGGCUCUGGUUACCUACAGUUUAAGAGUUUUUCUUCUCUGUCUAGACCUGCAGCUCAAUUUACUCAGCACUUAUAACUUCACACUGAGAACCGGCGAUUUUGGUGAGAGGGAAACUCGAAUACUUCAUCAAGAGACACAGUAAAUAUUUCAAGAUGUUACUGUGUUAAAACGAGUGGUCUUAGCUUGAAAAUUUGGACAAGGAAAACUUCGAUGUCCCUCCAUCUCUGCUGCGUGCCAGCCCUGCCUCCAAAGCCCCUCCUUGCAAAGGAGGCAGCCGCGCACAGUAAGAAAGGAGAAGAGGAAGUUUGAUGAAAUCAGACCUUCUUUGGGACGCUGUCCAGAGUUUCAGG